GCGCCGGUGGGGUAGUGGUAACCUGGGUCGUUGCCACAAGUUGGAUUAUGUAAACACAAUUCGACCCGCCGGGGGUUCGAUUACCCCCCGGCGCA